AUAAAAGAGGUUCAUAUCCAAAGGAUACUUUUUAAAAGACUCCUAUAACUCAACAGCAAAACAAACACAAAGCGUCUAAUUUUAGACGCUCUUAAGCCAAAGAGCUGAAUAGACGUCCGUCGAAGGAAGGUAUAUGAAUGGCCAACGUGUGCUUGAAAAGAUGCUCAACAUCACCCACGUUAGAGAAAUGCAGAUCAGAAGCACAGUGAGCUAUCGCAUGCCUGCUGCAAUGGCCAUCGUCACAAAGUCAAGAGAUAACCGAUGCUGGUGAGGAUGUGGAGAAGAGGCAACACCGUGCACCACGGGUGAGAAUGGAAGCUGGUCCAGCCACGACGGGAAACAGCAUGGAGGGUCCUCCGAAGGUUACAAAUGCACCUACCACGUGAACCAGCAAUGCCACUUUUGGGUCUAUAGCCAAAGGAGUUGAAAACGGGAUCUCGAAGAGAUAUUUGCACCCCGUGUUCAUUGCCGCGUGACUUUCAGUAGCCGAGACAGGGUAGCAACGUGAGUGUCCAUCGACAGAGGAAUGAAUGAAGCAGAUGUGCUCUCUCCUCUUGGAUCAUUUGCUUUGGGAAAAGACAGCUGCCACGUCGUGUGAGCAGCCCUAUAGAGAGGCCCAUCUGGCAAGAAACUGAAGCCUCCUGCCAACAGCCAUGUGAGUGAUCUUGGAAGCAGACCCUCCGUCCCCAUCAGACGACUGCAGCCCCUGCUGACAACCCGCCUGCAGCCAGGGUUUGGCCAUGACUCUAACUGUGUAACGCACAGACGUGGAUCGAUUACUGAUACAGCCAGCACACUUCCAAGGCUCAGAACUACAAUGAGCUUCUGAAGAUGAGGCAAUAACUUCCGGAGCAUGGAAGACAGAAAAGAUCCAGCGUUCGAUGGUGGCGAGGUGUAGAAGCAAUCUGUUUUGAAAGCUUAUUCUGCCAAUUACUGGUCAGUGCGUGUGGCAUCCAUCCAUUCGUUCAAUCUCUCUGCCGUUCAAUGCCUUUAC